rnacentral:rRNA from 1 species
AGUGAACUGAAACAUCUAAGUAGCUGCAGGAAGAGAAAGCAAAAGCGAUUGCCUUAGUAGCGGCGAGCGAAACGGCAAGAGGGCAAACCGAAGAGUUUACUCUUCGGGGUUGUAGGACUGCAACGUGGACUUAAAGAUUAUAGAAGAACUACCUGGGAAGGUAGGCCAAAGAGAGUAAUAGCCUCGUAUUCGAAAUAGUCUUUAUACCUAGCAGUAUCCUGAGUACGGCGAGACACGAGAAAUCUCGUCGGAAUCUGGGAGGACCAUCUCCCAACCCUAAAUACUCUCUAGUGACCGAUAGUGAACCAGUACCGUGAGGGAAAGGUGAAAAGCACCCCGGGAGGGGAGUGAAAUAGAACCUGAA